rnacentral:rRNA from 1 species
AAGGUGGCCUGUGAGGGUUGCUGGAGGUAUCAGAAGUGCGAAUGCUGACAUAAGUAACGAUAAAGCGGGUGAAAAGCCCGCUCGCCGGAAGACCAAGGGUUCCUGUCCAACGUUAAUCGGGGCAGGGUGAGUCGACCCCUAAGGCGAGGCCGAAAGGCGUAGUCGAUGGGAAACGGGUUAAUAUUCCCGUACUUGGUGUUACUGCGAAGGGGGGACGGAGAAGGCUAUGUUGGCCGGGCGACGGUUGUCCCGGUUUAAGCGUGUAGGCGGGUGUUCCAGGUAAAUCCGGUUCACUUUAACACUGAGGCGUGACGACGAGGCACUACGGUGCUGAAGCAACAAAUGCCCUGCUUCCAGGAAAAGCCUCUAAGCAUCAGGUAACAUCAAAUCGUACCCCAAACCGACACAGGUGGUCAGGUAGAGAAUACCAAGGCGCUUGAGAGAACUCGGGUGAAGGAACUAGGCAAAAUGGUGCCGUAACUUCGGGAGAAGGCACGCUGACACGUAGGUGAAGUGAUUUACUCAUGGAGCUGAAGUCAGUCGAAGAUACCAGCUGGCUGCAACUGUUUAUUAAAAACACAGCACUGUGCAAACACGAAAGUGGACGUAUACGGUGUGACGCCUGCCCGGUGCCGGAAGGUUAAUUGAUGGGGUCAGCGCAAGCGAAGCUCCUGAUCGAAGCCCCGGUAAACGGCGGCCGUAACUAUAACGGUCCUAAGGUAGCGAAAUUCCUUGUCGGGUAAGUUCCGACCUGCACGAAUGGCGUAAUGAUGGCCAGGCUGUCUCCACCCGAGACUCAGUGAAAUUGAACUCGCUGUGAAGAUGCAGUGUACCCGCGGCAAGACGGAAAGACCCCGUGAACCUUUACUAUAGCUUGACACUGAACAUUGAGCCUUGAUGUGUAGGAUAGGUGGGAGGCUUUGAAGCGUGGACGCCAGUCUGCGUGGAGCCGACCUUGAAAUACCACCCUUUAAUGUUUGAUGUUCUAACGUGGACCCGUAAUCCGGGUUGCGGACAGUGUCUGGUGGGUAGUUUGACUGGGGCGGUCUCCUCCUAAAGAGUAACGGAGGAGCACGAAGGUUGGCUAAUCCUGGUCGGACAUCAGGAGGUUAGUGCAAUGGCAUAAGCCAGCUUGACUGCGAGCGUGACGGCGCGAGCAGGUGCGAAAGCAGGUCAUAGUGAUCCGGUGGUUCUGAAUGGAAGGGCCAUCGCUCAACGGAUAAAAGGUACUCCGGGGAUAACAGGCUGAUACCGCCCAAGAGUUCAUAUCGACGGCGGUGUUUGGCACCUCGAUGUCGGCUCAUCACAUCCUGGGGCUGAAGUAGGUCCCAAGGGUAUGGCUGUUCGCCAUUUAAAGUGGUACGCGAGCUGGGUUUAGAACGUCGUGAGACAGUUCGGUCCCUAUCUGCCGUGGGCGCUGGAGAACUGAGGGGGGCUGCUCCUAGUACGAGAGGACCGGAGUGGACGCAUCACUGGUGUUCGGGUUGUCAUGCCAAUGGCACUGCCCGGUAGCUAAAUGCGGAAGAGAUAAGUGCUGAAAGCAUCUAAGCACGAAACUUGCCCCGAGAUGAGUUCU